UAGCCAUGAUGUGGACAAGAGCUUAACAAACCCUUAAUGCGUUCCCAACACUGAUAAAAAGUUUCAUUUUCUUUUUGAGAAAAAUUCAUGAUCUGUCUUUUCAAAGA